ACGGAGGGUGCGAGCGUUGUUCGGAAUUACUGGGCGUAAAGCGCGCGCAGGUGGGUGCGUAAGUCGGAGGUGAAAGCGCAGGGCUCAACCCUGCGACGCCCUUCGAGACUGCGUGUCUAGGGACCGGUAGAGGUGAGUGGAAUUCCCGGUGUAGCGGUGGAAUGCGUAGAUAUCGGGAAGAACACCGGAGGCGAAGGCGGCUCACUGGGCCGGAUCCGACACUGAGGCGCGAAAGCGUGGGGAGCAAACAGGA
rnacentral:rRNA from 1 species